rnacentral:rRNA from 1 species
CCUACGGGAGGCAGCAGUGGGGAAUAUUGGACAAUGGGCGAAAGCCUGAUCCAGCAACGCCGCGUGAGGGAUGACGGCCUUCGGGUUGUAAACCUCUUUCAGCAGGGACGAAGCGAGAGUGACGGUACCUGCAGAAGAAGGACCGGCCAACUACGUGCCAGCAGCCGCGGUAAUACGUAGGGUCCGAGCGUUGUCCGGAAUUAUUGGGCGUAAAGGGCUCGUAGGCGGUUUGUCGCGUCGGGAGUGAAAACUCAGGGCUCAACCCUGAGCGUGCUUCCGAUACGGGCAGACUAGAGGUAUGCAGGGGAGAACGGAAUUCCUGGUGUAGCGGUGGAAUGCGCAGAUAUCAGGAGGAACACCGGUGGUGAAGGCGGUUCUCUGGGCAUUACCUGACGCUGAGGAGCGAAAGCAUGGGGAGCGAACAGGAUUAGAUACCCUGGUAGCCCAUGCCGUAAACGUUGGGCGCUAGGUGUGGGGACCUUCCACGGUUUCCGUGCCGCNGCUACGCAUAGCGCCCGCCGUCGGGAGGUACGGCCGCGACGGACGUAAACCGUUAAACGUAAGAGUAGUACGGUAACGGUCGUAGAGAGUCGACGACGACGACGACGGAGGAGGAGG